rnacentral:rRNA from 1 species
UACAGAGGUCUCAAGCGUUGUUCGGAUUCAUUGGGCGUAAAGGGUGCGUAGGCGGCGCGGGUAAGUCGGGUGUGAAAUCUCGGAGCUUAACUCCGAAACUGCAUUCGAUACUGCCGUGCUUGGAGGACUGGAGAGGAGACUGGAAUUUACGGUGUAGCGGUGAAAUGCGUAGAGAUCGGGAGGAACACCAGAGGCGAAGGCGGGCGACCUGGACAAUAACUGACACUCAACUGCGAAAGCGUGGGGAGCCAAACAGG